UGGGGAAUAUUGGGGCAAUGGGGCGCAAGCCUGACCCAGCAAUACCGCGUGAAGGAAGAAGGCUUUCGGGUUGUAAACUUCUUUUAACAGGGACGAUAAUGACGGUACCUGUUGAAUAAGCUCCGGCUAACUACGUGCCAGCAGCCGCGGUAAUACGUAGGGAGCAAGCGUUAUCCGGAUUUACUGGGUGUAAAGGGCGUGUAGGCGGGACAGCAAGUCAGAUGUGAAAACUCAGGGCUCAACCCUGAGCCUGCAUUUGAAACUGUUGUUCUUGAGUGCUGGAGAGGCAAACGGAACUCCUAGUGUAGCGGUGAAAUGCGUAGAUAUUAGGAAGAACACCAGUGGCGAAGGCGGUUUGCUGGACAGUAACUGACGCUGAGGCGCGAAAGCGUGGGGAGCAAACAGGAUUAGAUACCCUGGUAGU
rnacentral:rRNA from 1 species